GGCCCUGUGGUGAAGUUCAUAUUGAGUUGCAAGCUCAUUGAUGUGCGUUAAGGCGCACCAGGGUCU
rnacentral:tRNA from 1 species